UACAUCAAGAUAUCAUCGAGGAAUAAAAGCACAAAUUUGUGAAGAUAUGGUCAGAAAACAUCGUUCAUAGUAGCUUGGAAAGUGGUCAGAGCAUUAGCAAUCCAAAUGGCAUAGCUACAAACUCGUAGUGGCCUGAAUGCUUUUAGAAAGCAAUCUUAUGAACAUCUAAAGGUGUAACUUGUAUACAAUGGUAAUUCAAUGCUAAAUCCAGCUUUGAGAAAUAGUGAGAGCCAUACAAUUCAUUUAACAUUUCUUGGAUCAUCG
rnacentral:misc_RNA from 1 species